rnacentral:tRNA from 1 species
AUAUGGGUGCCAGAAGUUUAAUAAUGGGUUAGUUUUAAGCGCUGAAUAUGAGUUUUCUCCCCGUAUA